rnacentral:rRNA from 1 species
CCAAUAGCGUAUAUUAAAGUUGUUGCAGUUAAAAAGCUCGUAGUUGAAUUUCGGGGUCAAUACGUCGGUCGUGCCUCGGUACGCACUAACGUUAUUGAUUCCUCCCUUCUGACGAGCCGUGAUGUCAUUAAUUUGGUGUUGCGGGGAAUCAGGACUGUUACCUUGAAAAAAUUAGAGUGUUUAAAGCAGGCAAUCGCUCGAAUACAUUAGCAUGGAAUAAUGAAAUAGGCCGUUCGAGCCUAUUUUGUUGGUUUCUAGGAUCGACGUAAUGAUUAAUAGGGAUAGUUGGGGGCAUUAGUAUUCAAUUGUCAGAGGUGAAAUUCUUGGAUUUAUUGAAGACUAACUACUGCGAAAGCAUUUGCCAAGGAUGUUUUCAUUAAUCAAGAACGAAAGUUAGGGGAUCGAAGACGAUCAGAUACCGUCGUAGUCUUAACCAUAAACUAUGCCGACUAGGGAUCGGAUGAUGUUAAUUUUUUAAUGACUCAUUCGGCGCCUUACG